GAUCGAUGAAGCCAGGCAUCAUCAGUGCUGUAGCGGCGCGCCGUGAGCCUGCCCUCCCACCCUCCGAUCAGCUUGCGGCUUCGUUCCUAUCUCACAAGCACGCACACGCACACCUCCUCAAAGACCUGCUGCCAUAACGCCGGGCAGCGCACGCGCAUAAGCACCCACACCUUCAGCAUAGAUAGACCAGCACACGCACACACACAGGGAAAGAUAGACGCUUUCUCGCGGCAUGCGCGACGACGUUGUUGACGUUCCCAGCAGCGCAGCGUCACUGCUCGAAGCCGCAAAGAAGUGGCUCGCAUGUACUCCGUGGGAGGCCCCUCAAGGCGCAGCCGGUGAGCCCACCGCAGCAACGGUGCUGUGUGAGCUUGUGGAGCUCAGUCGGCUGCGGCAUCUCCUUUACACUGCGACAGCGCGGCGUGCAGAGCAACAACCGGCACCCUACGGAACUGAGAGCCCGUCCGCCUCUCCGAAGGCGGCCGACGACAGUGCAGAAGCAUCUAGCAACAUUGAUGCGCUGCGCCGUGGCCGACAGCAGCACACCUCCUCGCCUUGCCCAACGCCGACCAGUAACGCGCAGAUGACCCGCACGGCAGUGCGGCAGCGCUUUAAACAGCUGCUCAAGCGCAGCAGCGCCUCCGUGCAGGCGCUUUACCGUGCCACGCGCAAAACAGACUUGAUCCUGUCGUCGAAGACCUCCAAGGCUACAAGCACGGCGCCAGCGGCGCCGACAUCCUUUGCGUGCGUUGCGGACAUCGACGCUGCCGACGUGUUCUGGGCACUCGUCCUGUACGUGUCGGCUGCUCUCUGCUGGAGACAGCGUCGCUUCCUCGCGGCGCAGCGCCGCGCAGACGCCUGCGUUGAAGACGUGGUGAGCAGCUCCCGAGACACAUCAGAGAGCCACCCACUGCGGCCGCACGUAUCAUCGCAACCGUCGCGGCAGGAGAGCGCGCACUCAUCGCUGAGCUCCACCGUCGACUACUUCACCGGUCACACGCCACGCGAUACAGCGGCACGUCACGGCGCUGGCGGUGGAGCAGGAGCGGACUUCUCUUCUGCGCUGCGGUCACACUACGCGCUUGGUAAGACUGCGGCCGACAACGCGCCGUUCAGUCGCUGCCGUAGAGUCCUUGAGCGCUUGCUACCGCUGCUGGAAAGUCGCUUGUCUGAGGCGCAGCUGUGGCGCCAGCCGUCGCUUCUCGCGGCUCUUGAUGUGCUUGCGCGAGGCUUCGCGAUGGCUGAGGGCCGUGUGCAUGCUUUAUCCUCGCGAAGUGGCAUGGGCACGGCUGCGCGGUGUCCGCUGUGCUACGCUGCGGCGCUGGACAACGAGCUUGCGGUGGAAGCGUUCCUGCACCUUCGCUGCUACGCUGCCGCCUAUCAAGGCGCAGAGGAUGUCGCUGAAGAUGCAGGAGCCCAGCACGGGCGGCAGCGAGGAGAGACUCGAAACGGCUUUGAUAGAGCUGAGCUGAGCUCGUGUGAAGUCGGAUGGGUAGCUGCGUGUCGCAUCGCGUUGUGGAACAACUGUCGAGCCUCGCUGAUGCGGCUGUGCUGCCCACCCUUGUUCUGCACAGCCACGUGGUGGCCUCAUCAAGAGGCAUGCGAACGGGCGCGGUGCAGGCGAUAUGCGCUUCUCGAGGCUCUUUGGAUCAGCUGGUGGCGAGCGGAGACAUGGCUGGCCUCUGGCCCUUCUUCCCCCGAGAUCACAAGCACGAGGGCCGCAAUUUCCAGGGACGCGGCGGCGCGCUGGCGCAGCGCACUACUGUUCAUGCAAGUUGUACUACCCGCUGCUGAAGCCGCAGCGCGUGAGCCCGGUGCCGAGGACUGUGGUGUCGAGGGUGGUGCGGCAGAGAAACACCCGAACUCGCAGCGCGCCAACCUCCGCGCGCUCCUCGCCCACCUCGUUCAGUUGCCGAUCGUGACCGAACUCAUGCAGCAAGUGUUGCGGCCCCACCAAGAUGAGAAGUGCGAGCGCAUCCACACCGCUGGCGCCCGCAACUGCGGCGCCUCCGGCACGGUGUUUCACUGGCUCUCGCAACAAGGAGAUGUGCCGUUGCUGACCCUUCUCUGUCAUACGCUCGACGGUCGCACCGCAGCGAUAACGGCAGGCAAAGCCCCCGUGGGGAGGCCCGCUGCCGCCGCGGAAGCAGCUGCCGGGCACGCCGAUCGAGCGUACAUCAUCCAACUUGGCGCUGCGCAUGCGAGGGGCGAAAGCGUCGGUGACUAUCGCCGCCACAGAGCAGCUUUACCGGCACCAGAAGCAGCAGCAAGCGGUGCGGUGGCGUCCAUUGGUGGGCCGGUGAGCCAACCAGCCCCCACAGACCCGGGUCGUGGCUUGUGCAGCUCAGUCUCCGUCUGGGGCUUACACUUGAUGGACACCCUCGGCCAAAAUGCCCUUGACGUGGCGUGCAGGCGUCAACAUCUGCCGUGUGUGCGCCUCCUGCUGCAGGCGGGGCUCUCACCGAACUCUCUCGCAACCCUCGUCUCUGACAAGUGCGUCGACUCGCUGCCGCUGCCGUUGCUCAGGCUGCUCUACGACCCCUCCUUUCUUGAAGGAGCGGACGGCAGCCGGAGUACGCCGCACAUGGGACUGGCGGAGCGGCUGCGGCAGCCGACUUGCCCCGCCGCGGCUGCCUCUCGCACCCUUGCGCAGCUCGCGUUCCGGCUGUGGACAGAGAAAGUGCAGCAGCUGUCGAUGGUGCCGCAAGCAGCUGAUGGCGAGGGUUUCGCGUUGGACCAGUGGCUCAGUGCCUACACGCGGUGUCAAGCGGCCCAGGAUCGUGUCUUGCGGUCAGCGAUGGCAGCGCUGGAGUUCGACGCGUACGAGCCCAUGGCCCGUCUCGUCGUGUUGUCUGUGCUGACGCGCAAGCUGAACGACUGGUUGGCCACCGCGCCGUCGUCCGUGCGCUUUGGUGCGAGCGAUUCGCCGGUCGGCACCAGCGGCAGCGUGCGAGGUGACGCAGCGUCGAGUAGGUCCUCCCCCACCGUUUCACAGCCGCAGCCAGCGCCACCCUCCCUUUGGCAGCUGCGGCUGCAGCACACGGUCGCGCUGCGGCUGUACACGCAGCUCACAUGCCCACUUGGCCGCGCGCUGCUGCGCCGUGCUGUCGACGCGCGGUGUGCCGUGUGUGACGCCCUUGCAGCACGAGAGGACAGAGCAGCAUCUGCGCUCCUCGCUGCCUCUGCCGUUAUGUCUGCUCCGUCCACUGCGGAGGCGGCCAGUGUCGGGGACGAGGGUGCCGAGGUUGCGAAGAGGGACGCGGUGGUGUUGUCUCCUGAAGCGUCCGUGCCGCUGCCUCCAGGGGCCUCGUCGCUGGCGCUAUCGGAACCCGUCAAGUCGCGCCAGGAAUUGCAAGGCCUCUACGAGCGCGUGCUUGCGGACGCACACACGCUCGACGCACGUCUUGUUGCCGAGCACCAGCAGCGCAUGUGUGCGAUGGUGGCGCGUGGCGGAUCGGAGGGGCACUGCCGCCACGGUGGAACGCAUCCGCGGCAUCUGCGCGCUUCCCUUGUUGCUACUCAUGGGGUCGCAACGGUGCUACGCGGACGCCAUCAUGAGCACCGCACAUGUGCGAUGCGGCACUCUCACCGAAGCAGCAGCGCCCACGAUGACGAGGUGUGCGCCCUCUACGCGCUAGCCGUGAUCCCGUCCGCGGAGGCGCUGCAGUCAGCCCGGUGGGAAACCAGCACAAAGCGGUGCAGCGUUGAGCCGCCGCAGCCGCAUCACACCACCCCCGGCGUGCGCCGCGUCGUCGAGCCGACCCUGUGGACUUUCACGAGCGCACCACAGCAGAUCUGGCUGCGGCUGCCCGAUGGCGUCGACCUUGACCGUCUCUUACGCGAAAACGAUGGUGGCGGCUUUGGUGUGGUCGCUGACGACGUGCCGCUGACGGCGCCGGUGCAGCGCGGUGACCUCGUCACGUUCCGCUGCAGCAGCGGUGGUGAUGGCGCCGGUAGAUCGGCUGGCAUCUCUGCAAGGGCCGCGCAGCAGCAACAGCAGCAGCAGCAGCAGGGCGCGAGGGCAGAAGAACGCCGCCACAGUCCGCAGUUUGUUGUCCAGCAAGUCUUCUCGGAGCGGCGCACGCUACCAUACCUCGUCUGGAAGAGUGCGACGGCAGAAGACAAGGACCUCCAGCAUCAGCCGCCUCCUGCAAGUCUCGUGCUCCCUUACGCUGUGGCAGCAGGCACGCCGGCGUGGACGGUGCCGCACAGGGCAGCGCCUCGGAGCACAAGCGGCGCCACAGACCCACGCCAGGACAGCAUAACACUGCACGCCUGCUGUUUGCCGGUGUCGUACGUGGCGCGCAUGACGUCCGCCCAGCUACACGACCGCCACCCGCUCGACUGGCUGCUGCAGACACGUCGUGCUGCCAAUUCAUCUCCGAGCGCCUCGGAAUCGGGGUUGGCCGACGUGCUCACGACGCUGCAGUGGAGCGCGACGUGGACUGCGCGGUGGGCACAGACGGUGUGGGCAGGCCACCAACCGUGUUGGCUGGAAGAGAGGAUGCGAGCCACCAAUGACAGCAGCGAUGCUUCUCAAGGUCACGGCGACAGCUCACGCGAGUGCAGAACGCAUUCGAGCAGCCGCAGUCCGGAUUGCUGCACCGGAGACGGCGGACGUGACGUUGUACACCUCACAGAUCCUUUCUACACCUUCGAUGACGCCGAUGCAGCCGAUGGGCGCGACAACUUUGCCGUCGAUGGCGGGCGGCGCUCUCUGCGCGUUCUUCGGACAUUGACGAGCGGCGACACUGCACCGCACGAGGCGCAGCGACUCUCUGCCGAGGUGGACUGGCCCUCUCGAGCGGAAGGGUGCAGCGCGGUGGUCACCGCCGAUGUGGUGCUGGGCAGUGCCACUGUCGUGUGAGCGUGCGGCUCGUGGGCGUCAGGUGGGUGGGGCGGGAGGGGGGGGGGCGACAAGGCGACGGAUCGACGCGAGGGAGAGACGAGGCGCUCAAGUACGCGCACGCUCAGGUGUGCACGUACGUGGGUGUGCCCUUUUCCCACUUUCACAAAAAGGCAACGUGGCAACAGGCAGAUACGGGCCGGAUGUGCCACCCUGAGAGGGCGGCGGGCGAGUCCGAGGUACGCAACGACUAGAAAGCAUGGCGCCGGCGAUGCAGGGCCGCUAUGUCUGCGUGUGUGUGUGUGUGUGUGUGUGUGUGUGUGUGUACCUUCUCUCUGU
rnacentral:misc_RNA from 1 species